UGUACAGGGGGCGUGACUGACCACGCCCCUGUAGUAAGCCACGCCCCCAAUUCCUGCCCGGGCCGCAGAGGGCCCUCGAACCGGCCCUGUGUAUAAUACAGCAAUGCAAUGGUAGCCAAUGCCUGAUUACUUCAACUGCUCCGGAAACAGAAAAAUAUUGCUCCUUACCAACAUUCGCCAUGCGCAGGUGGAGUCUGCCUUUGAUGACGGUGUGAACUCCAAUGGGUUUGACCACCCCUUGUUUUGAGACAUCCCCACUCAUGACCAUCGUCUCUUGCUCAUACUCCGUUGUGAUGACUUCCAACUCAUGAGACACCUGCACCGCUGUCCGACCCUGACGCACUGAGAACAAUAGAUGAAAGAUUUAUGCUAAUAAACCAUGGUGUGCCUAGGUGCAGCACAGAAGCCAAGAUGAUCGUGUACUAACGUUUAUUAUAUAGCGCCAGAAGAUUCCAUUGCACUUUACAAUUGGAAACAAGAUAAUUUUAAAAACAAGACUGACGAGACAGCCAUGAAGAGUUGCCAUGCCUACAGGGAGUUCCGGGUGACCUGGGACCGCUGGAGCUGCUGACAGGGGAGAGGACAGAGCAGGAACGCAUCAGCACCCAGGUGGAACGCAUGAUUGCGGUUUCCGGGGCAACGCUGUUAGUUUCCUCUAGAGGUGUGUCACGAUGUGAGACUUCUGGUCAGCGGGUCCCGGAGCCCGGCGGCGCCUGGCGGCAUGACUGAGGUGAUUUAAGCUGGGCAUCUCGCAAAAACUACUGGAUGAAUUUGGAUUGUGUUUUCACUACUAUUUAGCUUAGAAACCUAGAAAGAAACUGAGGUACGUAUGUAUGAUCUCGAUGUGACGCCAGAAAAAAGAGCAAUAAAGGAAAAUACAGAUGCUUGAUACUCGGUGCGCUGAAAAUUGGUGUUCCGAUCAAGCUUCUGACUCCGCCCAAUUUAUGCAACGGAACUGACUCAAAGUGACUGCUCUACAGAGGAUCCUAAUUGAGGCAGAGACUGUAACCGGAUGUGGUGCAGGCGAGACCUCGUUUAUACCACAUAUACUGAACAAUUUUCCUUCUCAAUUUAAGCGCCUGCUGUUUUCUGUAAGCAUCUGAUUCGCUAUGACAAUCAACAAGUUGAGGAAGCAAACGCUCAGUGCUGCAGGCGUAGAUCUCAGGACCAGCUGCUUCUCCCAUGGACAGCUUUACGCGGCUUGCUCACGAGUUAGUAGCCCCAAGCAUCUUUUUGUGCUAAUCCAUGAAGGAAAAACUGCAAAUAUUGUUUACAAAGAAAUGUUGUGAUCAAUGUGUACAAUA